UGUAUAGCUGUAAUUACUGAAUGUACAUAUGUCUAUCGCUAGUGUAGCAGUAGAGCGUGGUUGUUAGGAUAGAAGUGUGUUCUUAGCAAAGAAAGUGAGGAAAUUAAAAGUAGUUCUCCUGGGAA